CUACGGGACGCACCAGUGAGGAAUAUUGCACAAUGGGGGGAACCCUGAUGCAGCAACGCCGCGUGGAGGAUGACGCAUUUCGGUGUGUAAACUCCUUUUAUAUGUCAAGAAAAUGACGGUAGCAUAUGAAUAAGCGCCGGCUAACUCCGUGCCAGCAGCCGCGGUAAUACGGAGGGCGCAAGCGUUACUCGGAAUCACUGGGCGUAAAGGACGCGUAGGCGGGUUGAAAAGUCAGGUGUGAAAGCCUACAGCUUAACUGUAGAACUGCACUUGAAACUCUCAAUCUAGAGUAUGGGAGGGGCAGAUGGAAUUAGUGGUGUAGGGGUAAAAUCCGUAGAUAUCACUAGGAAUACCUAAAGCGAAGGCGAUCUGCUGGAACAUUACUGACGCUAAGGCGUGAAAGCGUGGGGAGCAAACAGGAUUAGAUACCCCGGUAGUC
rnacentral:rRNA from 1 species